ensembl:Mt_tRNA
GUAAAUUUAGUUUAAUUAAAACAUUAGACUGUGACUCUAAAAUUAGGAGGUAAAACUCCAAAUUUACC